AUUGAACGCUGGCGGCAGGCCUAACACAUGCAAGUCGAGCGAGCGGCGGACGGGUGAGUAAUGUAUGGGGACUGCCCGAUAGAGGGGGAGAACUACUGGAAAAGGUGGCGAAUACCGCAUACGGUCGGAUAACCCAUAUGGGAUUAGCUAGUAGGUAAGGUAAUGGCUUACCUAGUCGACGAUCCCUAGAUGGUCUGAGAGGAUGAUCAGCCACACUGGGACUGAGACCCGGCCCAGACUCCUACGGAGUCAGCAGUGGGGAAUAUUGCACAAUGGGCGCAAGCCUGAUGCAGCCAUGCCGCGUGUAUGAAGAAGGCCCUAGGGUUGUAAAGUACUUUCAGUCGGGAGGCGUUACCGACAGAAGAAGCACCGGCUAACUCCGUGCCAGCAGCCGCGGUAAUUC
rnacentral:rRNA from 1 species